rnacentral:rRNA from 1 species
CUGGCUCAGAAUGAACGUUGGCGGCGUGGAUUAGGCAUGCAAGUCGAGCGAGAAGCCUCCUUCGGGGGGUGGAUAGCGGCGAAAGGGAGAGCAAUGCAUGGAUAUCAACCCUGAGGUCUGGGAUAGCCGCGGGAAACUGCGGGUAAUACCGGAUGAUGUCUCCGGACCAAAGCUCCGGCGCCUCGGGACGAGUCCAUGUCCUACUAGCUUGUUGGUGAGGUAACGGCUCACCAAGGCUGCGAUGGGUAGCGGGCGUGAGAGCGUGGCCCGCCUCACUGGGACUGAGACACUGCCCAGACACCUACGGGUGGCUGCAGUCGAGAAUCUUCCGCAAUGGACGCAAGUCUGACGGAGCGACGCCGCGUGCGGGAUGAAGGCCUUCGGGUUGUAAACCGCUGUCAGUGGGGAGGAAAUUUUGACCGAUCCGCAGAGGAAGUCCGGGCUAAGUUCGUGCCAGCAGCCGCGGUAAGACGAACCGGACGAACGUUAUUCGGAAUCACUGGGCUUAAAGGGUGCGUAGGCGGCGCGGCAAGUCGGGUGUGAAAGCCCUCAGCUCAACUGAGGAAUUGCGCCUGAAACUGCUGUGCUAGAGGGAGGCAGAGGUGAGCGGAACUUGCGGUGGAGCGGUGAAAUGCGUUGAUAUCGCGAGGAACACCAGUAGCGAAAGCGGCUCACUGGGCCUCUUCUGACGCUGAGGCACGAAAGCUAGGGGAGCGAACGGGAUUAGAUACCCCGGUAGUCCUAGCCGUAAACUCUGAGCACUGGGUUGGAGGCUCCUCCAUAGGCUUCCAGCCGUAGCGAAAGUGUUAAGUGCUCCGCCUGGGGAGUAUGGUCGCAAGGCCGA